rnacentral:rRNA from 1 species
CAAUAGCGUAUAUUUAAGUUGCUGCAGUUAAAAAGCUCGUAGUUGGAUUUCGGGUGGGAAUGGCCGGUCCGCCGUUUCGGUGUGCACUUGCUACGCCCACCUUGCUGCCGGGGACGUGCUCUUGAGUUCACGCUCGGGACACGGAGUCGGCGAGGUUACUUUGAGUAAAUUAGAGUGUUCAAAGCAGGCCUACGCUCUGAAUACAUUAGCAUGGAAUAAUAGAACAGGACUUAUGCUCCAUUUUGUUGGUUAUUGGGCAAAAGUAAUGAUUAAAAGGGACAGUUGGGGGCAUUAGUAUUUAAUUGUCAGAGGUGAAAUUCUUGGAUUUAUUAAAGACUAACUUAUGCGAAAGCAUUUGCCAAGGAUGUUUUCAUUGA